rnacentral:snRNA from 1 species
GUGCUCGCUUCUGCAGCACAUAUACUAAACUUGGAACAAUACAGUGAAGAUUAGCAUGGCCCCUGUACAAGGAUGACAUGUAAAUUUGUGAAGCAUUCCGUAUUUUU